rnacentral:rRNA from 1 species
UACAGAGGUCCCAAGCGUUAAUCGGAAUUACUGGGCGUAAAGGGUGCGUAGGCGGUUGUUUAAGUCUGUUGUGAAAUCCCCGGGCUCAACCUGGGAAUGGCAAUGGAUACUGGGCAGCUAGAGUGUGUCAGAGGAUGGUGGAAUUCCCGGUGUAGCGGUGAAAUGCGUAGAGAUCGGGAGGAACAUCAGUGGCGAAGGCGGCCAUCUGGGACAACACUGACGCUGAAGCACGAAAGCGUGGGGAGCAAACAGG